rnacentral:tRNA from 1 species
GAUGGUAUAGCUCAGUGGUAGAGCACGUGCCUAGCAUACACAAGGUCCUGGGUUCAAUCCCUAGUACCUCCA